UCCCGUCUCCUCCCAGUCCCCCGGAGCCGACCAGUGGUGGCGGCAGCCCCAGGUCCCGGGUCCCUCAGACAAAAAGGCGGGUGGAGGAGGAGUAGCCGAGCCCAGAGUCCUGCUCCGGCGCCGCCGAGCACCGCCCGCCUCAGCCGACCAGCCCCGUCGGCUACUGGGCCUAGCCUAGAGGAGAGGAGGGAAAGGCCGCGGAGGCCGCGAGGAGACGGCUGGGGCGCCAGCGGCCGGCUGCCGCCUAGUUGUGCUGCCCGGACCAAGGAAGGAGAAGUGGGAGGAGCGGGGAGCUCAGCGGCUCAGGACGACGACGCUCGCCACAUCCGGGACCCUCCGGCCGUGGCGGUCGCAGCGCCGGCAGCUCGGGCCUCAGCCCCUGCCUCUGUGGUGACUCCGCCGCGCUUCGACGUCGCCCCUGUCCCCGUCCCGCCCGCCGCCCCCGCCAACCCCGCCGCCGGGGACAUGUCCAACCCCUGAAGCCGGAGGAACGGGCCAGUCAGACUGCGCCCGACAGGUGAUGGGGAGCGGCGGCCGGGCUGGGCAGCCGCCGGGUGGGCGAGCUGGCGCGGGGUACCUGUUGACUUGGGAAGGGCCAGGAUCGCGAUCAAUGGAGGUGAAGUGAAAUCUGCAAGAGUCCUGCUCGCUCAAGGCCUGCAUACAGGAAAGAAGCAGGGGAAAAGCGUUACAAACAGCUUUUGUUCUACAGCAUUUUAAAAUAUAACAGGU
rnacentral:lncRNA from 1 species